CUGAAAUUUCAGAGAUGACCCAAUCUUAUUUUAGGGUUUGUAUCGGGUGAAACACGAACUAUGCGCCUCCUCCCUGGCUCUCCGUCUUCUAGCAACUCAAAUCACCACCUCUGUAACAUCAUCGGUAACUUCCUGCUGUGGCGCAUCAGGGGAUAGGUUCGCCAAUAGUCGUCUGACUGAUCUAGGCUUUGGUCCUCUCAGAUAUAUUUAUCAUAUUUCCAUAAGAUUAAAAGAGAUCUCCAAACGUGGGCAGCCAUGGCAAGCACCAAAGUCCAGUGGAUUAUGAUCCAGCUAAUUGUACGUUUCCUAGGAUCUUUUCUCUUUCUUCUAUUUGUUGGUAUUACUUUAGCUGUAUUCUUUGAUUGAAUUUGCUUUGUUUUUGCGGCGGCUCCAUAACUUAAAUUGUAGGUUUUUUCAAAGUGUAAGCUCCAAAACAAUGGAUCUUAAAAGGUUUUAAUUUAUCAAUGCGUUUUCUGA